UUUUUUUCCCCUGGUGGGAUGAAAAUGCAAAUCUAUUUCCCCUCGCCUUAAGUUUGCAGACUGGAUGCUUUGGCCUAAUCCCAAAAGUUUUCUAAGAGGAAUCUGGCCCAUUUUCUGAAUCAGUUUGGAAACGUCAAGCAAGGUUCAUUAAAAAGUUGCUCUAGAGUCGCUCCUGAUUGGCUAGUAGUAAAAGCCAUGGCCCGCCUCUUCCUGCCUAGGAAUGUCAGCUUUGACUAAAGCUAUUCCUGGAGACUAUUUUCUCCCCCUUCCAUAUUUUCCACAAGAUCAAGCCUUGGAUCAUCUCCAGUAUUGCUUCCAAGAGUCACCUGGAGAGGAAUGCUGAUUCACGGAAACUGCAGCCUUGGAGGGCUGGCGAUCAGGUUGCCCACUCUGACAGAAGCUAUUCCUGGAGGUUACGAUGAGUAUUUACAUGACUGCAGCUACUAAUAUUGAUGUACUGCUUUUCAGCAAAAGUGCUCCAAGUGGUGCCCACAGAACAAUAAAUUAUAAAUAAAUCAAAUGGUGAUGAAUCAACGAGAGCAAGACAAUCAAUAAGAAUUAUGCAUAAUAUCACGCCAUUAAAAUCUGCAGGGCUGCACAGAGCUAUCAACUCUGAAGGAAGCUAGUCCUCAAGAUUACCCCCUCAACAUUCCCCCCAGAAUUACUCAUACUAUCAAGCCAUUAAAACCAGCAGAAUUGCAUAAAGGUGCCAACUCUGAUGGAGAGUUCCCCCUCCAAAUAUCUUUUUGCACCAUUUUUCACAAUAUCAAGCCAGUGAAAUCCCCAGUUGUUGCUGGCAAGAGAUGGAUGCCAAUUCCUGAGGACUGCCCACCAACCUUACAGCAUGGCAGCCUUGUCUCUCUCCAUCCCCAGAUGCAGCAGUGAGCAAACCUGGCCUUCCAGCUGUCUUUGGACUACAAUUUAUUGUGGCUGUGGAUGCUGGGAAUUGUAGUCCAGAAACAGCUGAAGGGCCAAGUUUGCUCACCCCUGACUAGUCGGACUACAACUCCCAUCAUUCCCAGAUCAUUGGGGCCAAUGAUGAUGGGAGUUGUAGUCCAAAAUCUAUGAACCCAGGUUGGGUAAAAAUUUCUAAAGCAAACUUCUGCCUCUCCACAGAUGCUUUUGGAAAUUCACAUGCACAAGAUUGUCCCCAGAUAUAUGCUGAUACUCAUGCCCUAUCUGUCUAUCUGUU